CUUUAAGUCAGCCAAGGGAGGAAACCCAUGGGGGAGUCCGGGAGAGAAGAUGCAGAUGCCUCCAGCUAUUACGAGUCCCAUGGCAACAAGGAUCAGAGGCAGAGCUGCUUUCCAUGCCGUGAACUGGGAGCUUCUGGAGAAGGUAGCUGGAGAAGAUUCCCAGAAGCCAGGAAUAUUGGGAACCAUGGGACACCAUGCCAAGAGUGAGCCCUCAUGAAAACUGCACUCUGGGUGCUGACGGCAUUGUCAACGGAAGUUCAUCAAACAUGGUGGACGUUCCUUCUGGUGUAGGGUUUUUAUGCUGGGGGAAGGUGUGUGAGGGGGUUAGGGGAAGAUGGGAACUCUCUGGACUUUCUACUAAAAUUUGUUGUGACCCUAAAACUGCUUUAAAAAAUAAAGCCUAUUUUAAAAAACCCUAAAAACUGUUGAUAUUAGGAUGUACAUUUCUUGUUCCCCCAAAGGCAAGGCUCUCCCCAGGGUCCCUGCACCCUUAUCUCUGUUCCUCUUCAGUAAUCAGCACCCAAACAGUGCACCUCCUGGGAUGCCCCAGCCAUGUGAGGACAGG
rnacentral:lncRNA from 1 species